GGACUUACCAGGCAGGGGUGAUUCCAUGAUCAUGAAGGUGGUUUCCCUAGGGUGAGGCUCAUCCACAGGAUUGACCCCUGUGAUUUCUCCAAAUGCAGCAAGCCAAGACUAAAGUGGAAGGAGAAUUAGUGCAUGGCUUUUUGUUCACAGAUGAUUGUGCACUCAAUGCAGCCUCUGA
rnacentral:snRNA from 1 species